rnacentral:lncRNA from 1 species
GUCGGUGAUGCCUAUAAACCCACUUAGGCUUAGUUUGGCAUUGAAGCCUAUCCGACACUAUUAGAUAAAAUAAAGUUGGGACAAAAAUAUAUAGAAAUAUACUUAUGCAUUUUUCGGUGAAAUCGCAGAAAGUAUAUCACAACCGACUCAUCAUAAUAUUCAUUUUAUGAUAUACAAUACGUACGAAAAUAAAUAAGAUAUUUUUUUUUAUCGUACUUUCUCAAUGCACAUAACACAAUCUUCUCGUACUAAUCAAUAGUGGUCCAGAAAGAGAGACACAUAGUUCGUAUAACGAACAACCACUGACAAGCAACAACUCUCUUGGAAAGGACAUCUAAUGUGCCUAAUGCCCAUAAAAGGAGGGGCAAUGGUCAAUUUUCCGGAUUGGAAAUAUGCACUUUGCCCCCUCCACUUUAGUUCGUCUGUCUGGCAUUAGCGGUGUAACAAGUGAAAGCAUUACUUUUUGGUCCUGUUCAUGGCAGACCUUCAAUUAAUAUUGGAUGAUCUCACCACACAACUUGCGAAAUCUUCAUCCCAUCUAGAAGUUGGCGUUACGUUUGGAGGCAAACUUGUUAUGAAACUAAAUUAAAUUAAACUUCAAAAGAGUUGAAUUUAAUUGUAUUUAUAUUUCCAUGUUCCCAAAAUGGAUGUGUCUCCGUUCUCCAUGCUCCAAGCUGUGAAUUUAAGCAAAAUCAUAUUUAGGCAUCUAAAUUUCAAAUUUGAGGUUCCAAAACAAUGAAUAAGAACGAAAAAUUGAAGUGUCAAAAAAAUAUAACACAAUCGUUUGUCCCUAUAAUCUUAAACUUUCAAAAAAUACAGUCAUUUUUAUAUUUAUAUUAAACAUUUUUCUUCGUAUCCGGAUUCAAUAGUUUUUAGUUGGCCCAGGUCGGAAGAUUCAAACUCAGCUUCUUCAGCUCUAAUACCAAAGUAAAAAAAAUGUAAACUGAUAUUGUUUACAAUUGUUCUUUUUCCUCAACACAAAGUAAUUUUUCAUAACACAAUUGUUCUUUUUCCUCCACGUCCUUGCUCCAAGAAAGAAAAAAGAAAAAGGAAAACCCCAAAGUAGGGAUGCACAUGGAGUAAGGCAUGUGGAAAUCCCACUCGGUAGAAGCCGAAAAUAAUAAAUAAAUAAAUAAAUAAAUAAUCUGUUUCGAAUUUACUUCGAUCUACUAAGAAAUAGAGCAGAAAACGAAAAAUUCUUUUUUUUUUAAUCUGUUUCAAUCCACUCAAAACUCAAUGCUCACCCCACCUGCCCUGAAUAUAGAAUAAGGCGGUGAAAAAUAGAAUAAAAAAUUAAUCUUCUGAAUUCGGCCAAAUCUGUAAAAAAAGCAGAUAAUGAAAGAUCUCGCCUGUCUCAGAAUCCGCAUGGUUUGCAUCCCUACCCAAUAUAAAAGAAUACGACACUAGUGGGUAGGUCUCAAUUAACUAUCGCGACUACUCACUCUCACCUUAUCUUCACACGAAUACAUCAAAAUUUUCCCGUGUGCAUCUUUAAAUCUCCACCGUCCAAUCAAUCAGCCAAUAAAAUGAAAAUGAAUUCCUAUCCUCAUCCGUGACGUAACCAUUGCUCUGAGAUGACGUAAUAGUUGGACCCCAUCAAAACAAUCUUGUUCUUUUUCUUUUUUCUUUUUUCAUUUUUUUUUGGUUUCUAGAAGCUGGAAUAAUCCAAACUAGACGCACUAUAUCGCGAAGCAAAUUUUUUCCUUUUUUUUUUUUUUCCCUCACGUUGUAAGGGGUGUUGUAGGUAUUUUGUUCUCAAGAGAGAGAGAGAGAGAGAGAGACUUCGAGGAUCAAAAAAUAUAUAUAAAUAUAUGCUGAUAUUUUUAAAAAAAUUUUGCUUGUCACAAUCAAGUAACUUGAUAACUAAGCAUGUAGUAGUCGCCGAGGAUUGUAACCUUCAACCAUUCUUGUAAAGCAAGAUAAAUGGAUGUUACUGUUUUUUUCUUUUUACGAAAUUAAUUCUUUAGAUAAUGUGACAUCAGAGAUCUUUCUGUUUCCACGUAUCAUGAGUUUGAUUCUCGAAUAUCUUUUAUCUGUUCAGUCGCUGUGCGUAGUAUAAUUAACCUGAUAUCCAUCGAUAUGUGAUUGUAAUUUUAGGAUCAAUAACCGACCGUCCCUAGAGUAAGUGGCAAUUGGUUUGAUGGUUGGUGCCCGAGACCCAAGUUCGAAUCCUAGUUGAUUCACAUUUUCAGUUAAGUUUAUUUCUAAAUUAAAUAAACGAAGCGGGUAGCGUGCUACCUAUCUCUCAAAAAAAAAAAAAUUUAGGAUCAAUAACGAACCCUUUCCUAUGGUGUAGAAGAUACCAAAAAAGAAAAUAUUGUUUCAUCUUUUGAAAUCAUUAUUGUUUAUUUAUUUUUCAUCAUAAAGUUGUUCAUUAUUAAUAUCUAUAGAGUGAGUAACAAUUAUGUUAGUAUUGUUUAGAAGAAAAUAAUACUUAGUAUCCCAUCAGUGCUAUAUGUAAAGUUCGACUGGGAUACUAUCAAUGGCAUUUGGACUUUUUUGUUAUCGAUUUUUUAACCGUUAGAUUUAGACUUUAAUCAAUUCCAUCAUUUAGAUCAUAUUACUCAACCAACCACUCACUCAACCUUAGGAAGACUGCUACUAAACCAUAGAAAACUACUAUCAUCCAAACCUUACAAUUUUUCAUCUAAGAAUUAAAAAUUUGAUAGCAAAAAAAUUCAAAUACUAUUAAUAGUAUUCCAGCCCCCAAUUAUAUAUAUAUAUAGUAGGUCUUGUGUGCUAUUAGGAGCACGGAGGCCUUCGUGCUCCUAAACCGUUUUCGAUGAUGGAGCUUUCGAAUCGACAAUCGGCUCCACUAGACUUAAUCUAGCAUAUUUGAAGUAUCUAGAAAAUAAAUUGUGUGGUUUUUCGAUAUCAUUUACCUAACGAUUAAAAUGGUUCAAAAUCAAUGGCAGAAAAUAAAAAUUUCAUAAAAAGUUGUGAUAUAGAACUAGGCUAAUAUACUAUCAAUAGCACCAAGUCAUUGGUGCUACCAAGUUUUUGGCCAUUGGAUUAAAAGAUGUGCGGUUAGUAUGAUGUGGGUUCCCUAGGGUUGAGUGGGUGGUUGGUUGAAUAGUAUGAUCUAACGGGUGAAAAUGAUCAAAAAGGUAGAUCUAACGGCAGAAAACUUAGUAGCACUAAGGGCGUGUUUGGUUCGCUUCUUUUUCACCCUGGAAUCGGAAUCGGAAUGGAUAAAUCCGUUUGUGGGUGUUUGGUACGCGGGAGUUCCAUUCCGAUUCCGAUUCCCGAGUGGAAUCGGAAUCCUCCAAUCACCUCUUUUUUCAAUCCGGCCUAGAAGGCCGGAUUGAAAGUUGAAUCCGGACGGAAUGAAUAUUUAUUCGGAUUAAAUUUAUUUUUUCAACUUUUUUAAUUAAAAUAUGAGUUAAAAUUUUAAAAUUAAAUAUAUAAUUUUAAAUUUUAAUUUAAACUUAAAUUAAAAAUUAAAAUUUAAUCAAGUAUUUCGAAUCUAACUUAUGAAUUUGAAUUUAAAUUAAAUUUUAAUUUAUAUAAAAUGUUAUUCAAAUUUUAUUUCAAACUUAAAUUAAAUUUAUGUAUUCAAAUUAAAUUUAAAUUGCAAUUUUAAAUUUGAAUUUGAAUAAAUCAAAAUUUAGUUUCAUAUUUUAAAUUAUCCACUCAACUUCAAAGUUUAAUUUUUUUAAAAAAUAGAUUUAAAAUUUUGACAUUAUUUCAAAAUUUUGAUGUAAAUUUUUAAUAUUUAAUUUUUAAUUUGAAUUUAAAUUAAUAUAUUAUAAAGAUAAUGUUAGUAUAUUAAUUUGAUUACAUUUUUUAUAUCCACCUGAACCAAACACCGACAAUGGGAAUGAUUUAUUCCGAUUUCGAUUCAGGUGAUGAACCAAACAGAAUUAGGUAAUGAGUCAUUCCGAUUCCGAUUCCAGUUUAUUUUGAUUCCGAUUCCGAUUUCGAUUCCGACUUCGAACCAAACGCGCCCUAAGUGCUUCGUGCUAUUAAUAGCAUAGCAGGCGGUCUCUCUCUCUCUCUCUCUCCCUCUCUCUCUCUCUCUCUCUCUAUAUAUAUAUAUAUAUAUAUGAGUUGAGCUGGAAUGCUGUCGGUAAUAAACGGGCUUCGUUGCCACCCAUUUGUUUUCGAUGAUGAAACCUCCAAAUUGACGAUCAGCAUCGUUGAAUAUAAUCUAUACCACUUGAAAUAUAUAAAAAUCAAAUUUCAAAUCUUUUAGACAUCAUUGACCCAAUAAUCAAAGGGUUUCAAAAUUUGUAAUUUUAAUGGUUGAUAUGAGGCGUUUUUUCGUUUAACGGUGUAAAGAUAUUCAAAUCAAUUGAAUUUUGUUUAGAAAAUUCUUUAAACUAUUUAGAAUAAGAUCUAUACUCUCGAUCUUGAUUAUAAAAUUCAUAUCAUCACUUUUUAAAAAAUAUUUUUCAUUUAUGUGUCUACUUGAUGGGCAAGAGAACAAUAUUAAAAAAUCAUGAAAUUUGGUUUUUAGAUGAUUCAAGUGGUAUAAAUUAUGUUCAACAAUGCCGAUCGUCGAUUUGGAAGCUCUAUCAUCAAAAAUAAAGAGAUGGCAACAGAGCCCAUUUGUUUCCGAAAACGUCCAAAUGUAAUUCCCAGAAUUUCAAGAUACUCUCCAUAACUCCUAACCACUUUCGACCAUUUGAGUUUUUAAUAUAAAAGUAAAAAAAUGAUUAACUCCUAAAAAAAGACUUUUGAAUCACAGGAUAUAAAAUUUACACUUACUUAUAGGGUAUAUAUACAGAGUGCAUUAUUUUUGAAAAAAAUUUAAAUAUAAUUAAUUUACGUGGUUUUCUGAGUGGGAUAAAUAAUGCUCAGUCCAUUUCAUAAACACAGGAGUAAAAAUAAUAAUAAAAAAAAUAAAAAAGAUGGCCUAAUUAACGGUUUUUUCAACAGGCGACAAAAAGAGAAAAGAGAAAAACGCCAAAAAGCGUCCAUAUAUUCUAUGCAUUUCUUAUCCAAUUUGAAGCAGUCAAAAACUCAAACCCGUUGACCUUCUCAAAACUCCAAAGUCUACCCUCCUUAAUUACUUAAAGGAAAAAAUAUGCAUGAUAUAUACUCCAAUAGAUUACUAACUUUAUCCGUAUGCAUGUGCUACAACAUGCAAGAAAAAACUUCAAAUACCACUCCUAUGAUUUCAUACAUUUUCACCUUAGUACCAUGUGAUUUAAAAUGUAUCAAUUUGGUGUUCUGUAGUUUUAUUUUUAUCUUUUUAUUAUCGAUUCCACUAAUUUUUUGUUAAAUCAAUAACAAAGUUAAACUAAAUGGUAUUAAAGUGAAUAUUCGAUAAACCCGGGUUAUCUAAAAUUUUUUGUAUAUAAUUUAAUAAAAUAUUAAGAAAAAAGCUGACAAAAAGAUAAAAAUGAAACCGCAGGGUACUAAAGUGAGAAAGUGCGAAACUACAGGAGUGGUAUUUAAAGUUUAUCCAGAACAUGUACAAUAAAUGUUUCUAAACUCAAAAAAAAAAAA